rnacentral:rRNA from 1 species
AACGAACGCUGGCGGCAUGCCUAACACAUGCAAGUCGAACGAGACCUUCGGGUCUAGUGGCGCACGGGUGCGUAACGCGUGGGAACCUGCCCUUAGGUUCGGAAUAACUCCCCGAAAGGGGUGCUAAUACCGGAUAAUGUCUUCGGACCAAAGAUUUAUCGCCUUUGGAUGGGCCCGCGUUGGAUUAGCUAGUUGGUAGGGUAAAAGCCUACCAAGGCGACGAUCCAUAGCUGGUCUGAGAGGAUGAUCAGCCACACUGGGACUGGGACACGGCCCAGACUCCUACGGGAGGCAGCAAUGGGGAAUAUUGGACAAUGGGCGAAAGCCUGAUCCAGCAAUGCCGCGUGAGUGAUGAAGGCCUUAGGGUUGUAAAGCUCUUUUACCCGGGAUGAUAAGGACAGUACCGGGAGAAUAAGCUCCGGCUAACUCCG